UCUCAGAGACAGUUGAAGCAAACAAAAGAAACCCAACUUGUACCAAUCAGUAUCUCAGAAGGAAACAGAUGACACAAACAGAUUGAAGUGAGUUCAAGUAAGGGACUAUGUGCAAAGAUGUGGCUAGGCUUGAGGGGAUCAGUGAGAUGGGGUAAAGCAUCCAGGGUUUACCUCCCCUGGCCUGGAGGGGCAAGGGGGAGAGCAGGCACCAGUGCCUGAGGGAGGCACAGCCCUGGAAAAGGUGACUGGCAGACACUGUGGCCUUCCUUAGUGGCACACAGACUCUGCAGAAACAUGCAUCUGACAGCAGGAGUGAAUGCUCCCACCUCUCUCCAUCCAUCCUCUGAUCUGCUACUGGUGAGAGCUGAGAUCCACUUCUUAUUAGAUCCACACACUAGAAGGAGGACAAGGGAUUCUGGGAGAUGAAUAAACAGCCCCCAGGGAACAGAGCCAAGUGGAGAGCGGUGGAGAGAGGAUACCCUAAGGGGAAAACACAGAAUCUCCUCCUCACACUCCAAGGACUAAUUCAUUCCAUCUAGAAAGUGCGACUCCAUCCAAGAUAGCAAGCGUUCAACAAGUGUUGGCUGUAUCAGUCGGGAGGAAGCAUUCCAUUUUGGAGGGGAAGAAAAGAGUUGGAACCAGAGAGUGAAUCACAAAAUCCAGUUUCAGUUAACAGGAAAUGGAGUCUGAACUCCAGCUGGUGGAAGGGAGAGAUGAGACAGGAGAAAGAAGAAAAAACAGCAGCGGUGUGCUGGUGCCAACUCCCGCAGCCUUAGGAGAGCAGAGGGUUAAUUUUUCAGGAAGUCUGCAAGCCGGUUGUGAAAUCUGUUGGGUAGCUUGAAAUCAGUGGUGGCAGGAGUAUUUACACCGUGGGAACAGGCAAAAUCAGAACACACCACUGGAAAUGAAUAUUCUUCGCCCAACUUUUGGAUUUCCAAAUCCUAGCCCUCAGAGAAAAAUGGAAAGGACUCUUGCCUAGAAAAUCAAGUAGGACAUUUCCUGGACUAUGGCAAGAGGAAAAACAGAGGGAAAGAGAGCAUACUCUAAGAAUAUCAGGGCUGUCAGCCUCAUUUUGUGUUCUUCCCUCUACCUCACCUUUUGAACCCAUGUAAGUAAACAUUUACAAGACUGCAGAAUAACAGCAAACACAUAACGGUAAACAUACUGAUGCACCGUACCCAAAGAAAUGACUUCAUAAGCAAAAUGGAGAGAAAAAAGCUAUUAUAACAGGCCGGGUGAGGUGGCUCAGGCCUAUAAUCCCAGCAAGGCUGAGACAGGCGGAUCACUUGAGGUCAGGAGUUUGAGACCAGCCUGGUCAACAUGACGAAACCCCAUCUCUAUUAAAAAUACAAAAAUUAGCUGGGUGUGACGGUGUGCACCUGUAAUCCUAGCUACUUGGAAGGCUGAGGCAUGAGAAUCACUUGAACUGGGGAGGCAGAGGUUGCAGUGAGCCAAGAUCAGGCCACUGCACUCCAGCCUGUGUGAGAGAGUGAGACUCCUUCUCAAAAGAAAAAAAAAGUUCUAACAAUUCAUAAGUACAAUCUUUCUUUUUAUUUUCUUCUUUCCACUUGGUAUGUCAAAAUAUUUCAGUUCAUCUCCAUUUUAACACUUCUCUGGUACAUUCUGUUAAUCUCUAUUUUAUUAAAUGGAGAUUACAUUAUAACAGUUACCUGAUGCAUAGAAUGUAGCAACCAUGUCAAUAAACACAAAGUAUAUAAUAAAUAUUUUAUUUCUUCAAAUAUAGAAUUAUGUAUUUUUUCAUAUAAAGGAAGAAAUUCUCCGUUUUUAAAAAUAAUUAUAUUUGCUACUACUAUGUUUACAUUUUAUCAAACCCAAUUUUCUCUUAUUUCUCUAUAGUAUCGUAAGUAUAUACUACUAACAAAAGUAUUGUUUCUUCUUUUUUUUUUUGACAGAGUCUCGCUCUGUCACCCUGGAGUGCAGUGUGCGAUCUUGGCUCACUGCAAGCUCCACCUCCCGGG
rnacentral:lncRNA from 1 species